CCUACGGGAGGCAGCAGUGGGGAAUUUUCCGCAAUGGGCGAAAGCCUGACGGAGCAACGCCGCGUGAGGGAUGAAGGCCUCUGGGCUGUAAACCUCUUUUAUCAAGGAAGAAGAUCUGACGGUACUUGAUGAAUAAGCCACGGCUAAUUCCGUGCCAGCAGCCGCGGUAAUACGGGAGUGGCAAGCGUUAUCCGGAAUUAUUGGGCGUAAAGCGUCCGCAGGCGGUCUUGUAAGUCUGUCGUUAAAGCGUGGAGCUCAACUCCAUUUCGGCGGUGGAAACUACAAGACUAGAGUGUGGUAGGGGCAGAGGGAAUUCCCGGUGUAGCGGUGAAAUGCGUAGAUAUCGGGAAGAACACCAGUGGCGAAGGCGCUCUGCUGGGCCAUAACUGACGCUCAUGGACGAAAGCUAGGGGAGCGAAAGGGGAUUAGAUACCCCUGUAGUCCUAGCCGUAAACGAUGAACACUAGGUGUCGGGGGAAUCGACCCCCUCGGUGUCGUAGCUAACGCGUUAAGUGUUCCGCCUGGGGAGUACGCACGCAAGUGUGAACUUAAGGAAUUGACGG
rnacentral:rRNA from 1 species